GGACCCUGUAAUGGGGGAGGAGAACUAUUUCCCACGUAAUGGGGAGGGGAAUCAGGGUACUAUUCACAAAAGAAGGAGAAAGGGAUGCUGAAGAGCAGGAAAAAAACCCAGAUGGUCGCUACAGGCAUGCAUUCUGGGUAAGCUCAUGCAAAUGAUCAAAACGGGCUCCUUUUGGGUCUCAGAAAUUUCUCAUCAUUAGAACCCUAAGCAGGACUGAGUACAGGCACACAAAAUGCUGAUUUCCUCUGUAGACAGAACACUGUGUGGUUUACAGAGGAGGCAGCCUCAGCUAGACCACUAAGAUCAACUUUUCCCACCCGCAGCAUCCUGAAAGAACACGUAGCAAGAAGGUGGAGAGAAUCAGACCACUAGCACUCCACUUCUUUUAAACAUACCCCAUAGAGACACGUACCUGGGAGAACUCACAGCUGCCUUCUGCUGGACUAGAAGUAUUUGUAUCCUGACCAUCUGCGAGGUCUUGCUCAGAGUUAGAGAAAAGCUUCUCAAAUGUGGGCCAGCUGUUGGAGCUCUAAUAUGCAUAUUUGGGAGAAUUCAUAUUUAAUUUAUUAAGCUGGCCGGCCAGCUGCCCACUAGGCUUGGGAUGACCUCUACAAUGCAUCUAAAGCUAACCCUUCAGACUCAGAAGAAUGGUCACUUCCUCCUUCAUGCAGUAUUUUCUGCCUGUCCCCUCAAAAGCUGAGUUUGGGGCUUCUUUCUUUGUGUUCCCGUGGAAAUGCUGUACUAGGUACACCUUUUCACUUGUAAUUUGCCCCUACUGCUCUCUGGGCUCCUUGAGGCAGGGACCAUGAGUCAUAUCACAAGCAAUUAGAACAGAGCUGGAAUAUGGUGCCCUAUGAAUGAAGCCCAUUGUUCUCUGCAUCUGUGUCUCUGUUUCUGCCCUGCAAACCGGUUCAUCUGUACCAUUUUUCUAGGUUCCACAUAUGUGUGUUAAUAUACGAUAUUUGUUUUUCUCUGACUUACUUCACUCUGUAUGACAGUCUCUAGAUCCAUCCACGUCUCUACAAAUGACCCAAUUUCAUUCUUUUUAUGGCUGAGUAAUAUUCCAUUGUAUAUAUGUACCACAUCUUCUUUAUCCAUUCAUCUGUCAAUGGGCAUUUAGGUUGCUUCCAUGUCCUGGCUAUUGUAAAUAGUGCUGCAGUGAACAUUGGGGUGCAUGUGUCUUUUUGAAUUAUGGUUUUCUCUGGGUAUAUGCCCAGUAGUGGGAUUGCUGGGUUAUAUGGUAGCUCUAUUUUUAGUUUUUUAAGGAACCUCCAUACUGUUCUCCAUACUGGCUGUACCAAUUUACAUUCCCACCAACAGUGUAGGAGGGUUCCCUUUUCUCCACACCCUCUCCAGCAUUUACUGUUUGUAGGUUUUUUAAUCAUGGCCAUUCUGACCUGUGUGAGGUGAUACCUCAUUGUAGUUUUGAUUGAAGUUUCUCUAGUUGGUGAUGUUGAGCAUGUUUUCAUGUGCUUUUUGGCCAUCUGUGUGUCUUCUUUGGAGAAAUACCCAUUUGUUUAUUUUUGUUUUUAUUUUCAUUCAGCUUUAUUUUUUGUUCAAGUGAACCAUUGGAGUGCAGAGCAUACGAGGACCUUGUUGAGGUUGUUAAUGCCUCAGACCAGGCUAGACAUGGUGACCUAUUUAUCUAAGGCAAUCAAUGCCCCUGUAGUCAGAAAGGCUCCAUAUUUUGGCCAGAAAGGAAAGCAAAGGCCAAAGGCAGAGAAGUGACGGCUAGUGUUCAGUCUGGUAGGUAAAGUGACUAAGUGGAGAAAAUGAACCACCAAGUCUAAAGGUAAGCACACUGAGAGCCAAAUGCAAAGCGGAAAAGUGCAGGGCAUGGUGGGACAGGGUGAUUCAGCAAUGCCAGUGGUGAUGGGACCCAUUUCUAAUAUUCAUUGUGCUACCUUCUUUAUAGCUUAAAACUGCCAGAUAGGAUCAGACAUACUUGGUCUAAGAUCCUGUAAGAUCUGGCCCAGUUUAAAACCUAUAUGAGAAAACUCUGAUCACCAAAGAUAUCUCUCUGUCAGGCACCAUUGCCUGGACAACUGGCAUGGCAGUUCUGUUAGGCUUUAUCUUGAUGACCUUUUGUUCUCUGCCCCACACUACUCGUGAUUGUGACAGGUAUGUAGCCCUGCCAGGCUACAGGGUCACCUUUUCCAUUUCCUCUUCCUGGGCACAAGCACUGUCUACAUUUCCUAGCCUCCCUUGAGUUAGGUUGUGGUCAUGUGACGGGGCUUUGACGAAUGGAAUGUGGGAGGAAGUGAAAUGGGCCACCUCCAGGUAUGACCAUCAAAUGCCCCUUGGGACCUACGCCGUACUCUCCCUCUCUCUUUGUUCAUCAGCCAGCCGAAUGCAGAGGCUCCAAGAUGGAGGAAGCCUGUAUUCCAUUCAGGAGAGUCUACUGAAAACAUCCAGUCAGACUGGGUCUUAGGGGGAAAAUAAACCUUUGCUGUAAGCCACUAAGCACUGAAGGUUGUUUCAGCAGCUAGCACUCCCCCUGACUAAUACAAGUCUAAAAAGCUACCCAUGAUAGCUUCCAACAUAGCAGGAAAUGAUUGGGAUGAUAAUGUUUAAGCAGGAUUUCCAUAAAUGUGUUAAGGUUCCACAGGUACCUCAAGGUAGAGCCAGUGAAGAUGGACAAAUGUCACAUCACUACAGAAAGGUGAGCCAGGAUUUGAAUGGAGUUCUGUCUGAUGCAAAAAGCCUGUCCUUUUUCACUUCUUCACAUUACCCCAAACAAAGAGGUGUUUAGAUGUUUUGAGUGAUGGUCAUAAUGAUGACAGACUCUAGGAUUCUGUGUAAUUUGCUCCCUGGCAUAUUUGUGCUACAUAUUCCUGCAGCACGUCUACCACUUCCCACAGGCCAGUGAGGUUGGAUACAAUGACAUCCUGUAAUCCUCAUUUUUAUAUUGACAUCGUGCCCAGGUACUUAAAGGAGGGUAGCUAAAAUUAUUAUUUUCUCCAGCCUGCAACCUAAAUGUUUACCAGUCUGGUAAAAGACUUUGGGGACCAUGCCAUAGAGGUAUAUAGGUCUUCCUUCUCCUUUUCCUCCUUCCUUCCUGUCCCAACCAUUCCAGUCAUAAGCUGGGCUCCACAUCUCUUCUAGCUGAAUAAUUGCAUCUUCUAUCUCUCUGCAAUGGUGAGAGAGCAGGGGACUGAACCUCCAUAUUCUAGUUUCCACAUCUGUAAAAUGGGUGUAUGUUACCUACCACGUACAAUUGUCAUGAGGUUUAAAUAAGACAGGCAAUAAAUUGGUGGCAUAUCGUG